rnacentral:rRNA from 1 species
CCCUUAGAUGUUCUGGGCCGCACGCGCGCUACACUGACGAAUGCAACGAGCUUAUAACCUUGGCCGAAAGGUCUGGGUAAUCUCCAAAUUUCGUCGUGAUGGGGAUAGAUUAUUGCAAUUAUUAAUCUUCAACGAGGAAUUCCUAGUAAACGCAAGUCAUCAGCUUGCAUUGAUUACGUCCCUGCCCUUUGUACACACCGCCCGUCGCACCUACCGAUUGAAUGGUCCGGUGAAAUCUCGGGACGGCGGCUUGGUCGCUUGCGUCCGACUGCUGAAACUUGAUUAAACCAUAUCAUUUAGAGGAAGGUGAANUCGUANCA